rnacentral:lncRNA from 1 species
AAUUAUAUUGAUGAAUUAUAGCCAGCUUAUUAUUCAUACUCUUCAAUCAUGAUAUAUCUUUAUAUUGUUGUAUUUAAACUUGCUGGGCAACUUUCAUGCUCACCCUUGCUAUAUCAUGAUAAACAUUGCAGAUAAGGCGAAUGCGUUCGGAUACAGGAAAAGGUUAAUGCCAAGUACAGCUUGGGAUAAAUUGUACGGCUAUUUUGUAAUAGUAUAGUUGAAUAAUAUCUUAUCUGAUAGAUAGCUUAUGAUUUGUGUUUAAGUUAAGGUUACUCGACCUUGGG